CUCAAUUUCCAUCUUCUUCACCCUAAUUCUUCAAUUGAUUCCCUUAUUUACUCAAUCAGGUACACUUUCAUUGAAUUUUGUGGUUACUUUUUUGUUUAAUUUGAAAGAUUUAGGGUUUCUUUUUUUGGGUUUGGGAUUUGGUGAGAAAUUACGUGAAUUAGGUCACUAAUUUCCAAUAAUUUAGAACAAUGAGGGGGUGAGUGUGCGUAAUAUUUUGCUAGGGAUUAUGAAUUUGUUUUUGUUAAUUUUGCGCAGAUUUUUUUUGUUCUGACAUUGUGUUCAUUUGAAUGUUCUGUUGCAGUGGUUUGGCUGAAUUGAGUCUCGUUUGGGAGUAAGAAGAUUUACUCCGAUGGCGAAUAUGCCGGAGAAAUUGAACCAGUGUAAGCUUGAUGCUCGCCGUGAACAAUGCCUUUCGCAAGGUCCUGCAUUCAUUUUCUUUUCUUUUUUUGAUUUUUACAGUUCUGUAUUUUUCUUGCAUAAAUUAAAUUGGAAUCUUGCAUCCACUAAUUAUCUAGAGCUUGCUCUCUUUUUUUCAUUCACAAUGAAUUUCCUGGGCCCUUUGAUUGUAUUGGCAUAUCUUUCCUUUUAUAUAUUGUGACUGUCAGGAAGACGUAGGAUAACCUUGGUUAUUAUGGGUGCUUCAUAUGUAACCAUAUCUAACUUGGAUGUUGGAUAACCUUUAUUUUUGGUUGUUUCUGGUUGGUAGUCUUUGUGAUGAUCAGUUGGGAAGUGUAUAUAUGCCUGCUUGCUAUGGUUGUUUUAUUAUUAAUGAAACUUGCAAGUGUCCUGAGGUUUGUGAUGAUCAGUUGGGAAGUUGUUUAUUCUAAUGAAACAGAGAGCAGGUUGCGUAGGUUGUACUAUGGCUAUCAUGAAGAAUGUUUUAAGGUGUCUUUCGGAUCUUUUACCUGUUUGCUGUUGCUUUUCUGCUGAUCUACCAGUCACUUUUCCAUCUAUUUCACCAGCUUAGCUGCAAUUUUCUUCGAUGGAGGUUGUAGGAGUUGAAAUUCUCUCUCUGACAGAACUAUUAGCCAUUUCUUGGACUGGAUUUGGCUGUUGAUGAAAUGACUCUGCAUCAUAUUGUAGGAUUGCAUUAAGUGAUUCUUGUACUAACUUUAUGGCUGCAGUCUGUUGCAGUCCAAGUUUCUCUGUCUUUGCAACUUGGUCAUCAACUUCCUAGAGAUUGUUGCUGUUUUUACUCAGCUCCAUAUUCAAGUUACUCAUCUCAUGGCUAUUGUUUCCAUCUCCACUUUCUUUUUCAUCUGCUUGAAUGAUAU